UACGUAGGGUGCGAGCGUUAAUCGGAAUUACUGGGCGUAAAGCGUGCGCAGGCGGUUUUGUAAGCCAGAUGUGAAAGCCCCGGGCUUAACCUGGGAAUGGCAUUUGGGACUGCAAGGCUGGAGUGUGGCAGAGGAGACGUGGAAUUCCUGGUGUAGCAGUGAAAUGCGUAGAUAUCAGGAGGAACACCGAUGGCGAAGGCAGGUCUCUGGGCUGACACUGACGCUCAUGCACGAAAGCGUGGG
rnacentral:rRNA from 1 species